rnacentral:lncRNA from 1 species
CCGGACCCAAGCCAGAUCUGCCCACCGCCUGCACCGCGUCGGCUCCGAGCUUCCCCUCGACGCCCGUGCCUGAGAUCUGCUCGUGACCCAGCAUCCGGCAUUCCUUACUCCGGUCGCGACCUCUACCGUCCUUCCCCGACGCCGCGCCGCGCCUCAACGCCUUGCCAGCCUUGCCCUGUCCGCGAUCCGCCCACCACGCCGCCGGAAUCCCUC